rfam:Peniophora sp. CONT PENSPscaffold_66_Cont113, whole genome shotgun sequence.
GGCAAGAUGUCCGAGUGGUCUAAGGAGUGGGAUUCAAGUUGCGCCACGUGACUUCCCGGCAAUAGCCGGGCCGAUUCCCCAUAGCGCAAGCUGCGCGGGUUCAAAUCCCGCUCUUGUCA